GACGAACGCUGGCGGCGUGCCUAAUACAUGCAAGUCGAGCGAGACUCUUCGGAGUCUAGCGGCGGACGGGUGAGUAACACAUGGGCAACCUGCCUGUAAGACUGGGAUAACACCGGGAAACCGGUGCUAAUACCGGAUAAUCCUUUUCUUCCCAUGAGGAAAAGCUGAAAGACGGUUUCGGCUGUCACUUACAGAUGGGCCCGCGGCGCAUUAGCUAGUUGGUGAGGUAACGGCUCACCAAGGCGACGAUGCGUAGCCGACCUGAGAGGGUGAUCGGCCACACUGGGACUGAGACACGGCCCAGACUCCUACGGGAGGCAGCAGUAGGGAAUCUUCCACAAUGGACGAAAGUCUGAUGGAGCAACGCCGCGUGAGCGAUGAAGGCCUUCGGGUCGUAAAGCUCUGUUGUUAGGGAAGAACAAGUACCGGAGUAACUGCCGGUACCUUGACAGUACCUAACCAGAAAGCCACGGCUAACUACGUGCCAGCCGCCGCCGUAA
rnacentral:rRNA from 1 species